rnacentral:snoRNA from 1 species
CUUGAUGAUGAACAACCUACCAAUAAGCAUAGUUCACCUGAGGUCUCGGACCGCUGAACGAAAACCGUAUACCAUCUUUCAAUUUUAUCUGAUA